UACGUAGGGUCCAAGCGUUAUCCGGAAUUACUGGGCGUAAAGAGUUGCGUAGGUGGCAUGUUAAGCGAAUAGUGAAAUGACGAGGCUCAACCUUGUGUCCAUUAUUUGAACUGGCAAGCUAGUAGAAUAUGAGAGGUAGAUGGAAUUCCCAGUGUAGGAGUGAAAUCCGUAGAUAUUGGGAGGAACACCGGAUGGCGUAGGCAGUCUACUGGCAUAUUUCUGACACUAAGGCACGAAAGCGUGGGGAGCAAACGGG
rnacentral:rRNA from 1 species